GACGAACGCUGGCGGCGUGCCUAAUACAUGCAAGUAGAACGCACAGUUUAUACCGUAGCUUGCUACACCAUAGACUGUGAGUUGCGAACGGGUGAGUAACGCGUAGGUAACCUGCCUGGUAGCGGGGGAUAACUAUUGGAAACGAUAGCUAAUACCGCAUAAUAUUAAUUAUUGCAUGAUAAUUAAUUGAAAGGUGCAAUUGCACCACUACCAGAUGGACCUGCGUUGUAUUAGCUAGUAGGUGAGGUAACGGCUCACCUAGGCGACGAUACAUAGCCGACCUGAGAGGGUGAUCGGCCACACUGGGACUGAGACACGGCCCAGACUCCUACGGGAGGCAGCAGUAGGGAAUCUUCGGCAAUGGACGAAAGUCUGACCGAGCAACGCCGCGUGAGUGAAGAAGGUUUUCGGAUCGUAAAGCUCUGUUGUAAGAGAAGAACGGGUGUGAGAGUGGAAAGUUCACACUGUGACGGUAUCUUACCGGAAAGGGACGGCUAACUACGUG
rnacentral:rRNA from 1 species